rnacentral:rRNA from 1 species
UUUACAAUGGAGAGUUUGAUCCUGGCUCAGGAUGAACGCUAGCGGCAGGCUUAAUACAUGCAAGUCGAGGGGCAGC